rnacentral:rRNA from 1 species
CACGGAGUUAGCCGGGGCUUAUUCUCCCGGUACAGUCAUUAUCUUCCCGGGUAAAAGAGCUUUACAACCCUAGGGCCUUCAUCACUCACGCGGCAUUGCUGGAUCAGGCUUUCGCCCAUUGUCCAAUAUUCCCCACUGCUGCCUCCCGUAGGAGUCUGGGCCGUGUCUCAGUCCCAGUGUGGCUGAUCAUCCUCUCAGACCAGCUAUGGAUCGUCGGCUUGGUAGGCCUUUACCCCACCAACUACCUAAUCCAACGCGGGCUCAUCCUCAGGCAAUAAAUCUUUGGACUUUCGUCAUCAUCCGGUAUUAGCAGCCGUUUCCAGCUGUUAUUCCGAACCUAAGGGCAGAUUCCCACGCGUUACGCACCCGUGCGCCACUAAGGCCGAAGCCUUCGUUCGACUUGCAUGUGUUAGGCAUGCCGCCAGCGUUCGUUCUGAGCCAGGAUCAAACUCU